rnacentral:snRNA from 1 species
GCACUGUGAGGGUGAUCUUGCUACAAGAUCUGUCACCCCUCAUUGAUCGCCAGGGUUGAUUCAGCAGUCUGCCUUGCUAGGCAGGUGUCCCCGUCCACCCUCACCACUCCAUGUGUUACUCCCCAAGCUGAGGCUGGGUCAAAGAGAAAGACUUUCCCCAAUGGAGAAGGACCACUCUUGGGUCAAAGGUAUACAAAUAGCUGCACUCCCCUGCUCGAACCUCCAAACAAGCUCUCAAGGUCCAUUUGAACAUAGGAGAGUCAAGCUUCCGAGACUCCAGAGACAACCAAAUAAGGCUCUGCAUGUGGCAGUCCGCCUUUAUUU